UACGUAGGGUGCGAGCGUUAAUCGGAUUUACUGGGCGUAAAGCGUGCGCAGGCGGCCCGUUAAGACAGGUGUGAAAUCCCUGGGCUCAACCUAGGAAUUGCGCUUGUGACUGGCGGGCUCGAGUACGGUAGAGGGGGGUGGAAUUCCUGGUGUAGCAGUGAAAUGCGUAGAGAUCAGGAGGAACACCGAUGGCGAAGGCAGCCCCCUGGGCCUGUACUGAAGCUCAUGCACGAAAGCGUGGGGAGCAAACAGG
rnacentral:rRNA from 1 species